UACGUAGGGGGCUAGCGUUGUUCGGAAUUACUGGGCGUAAAGCGCGCGUAGGCGGCUUUGUAAGUUAGAGGUGAAAGCCCGGAGCUCAACUCCGGAAUUGCCUUUAAGACUGCAUCGCUAGAAUCAUGGAGAGGUGAGUGGAAUUCCGAGUGUAGAGGUGAAAUUCGUAGAUAUUCGGAAGAACACCAGUGGCGAAGGCGACUCACUGGACAUGUAUUGACGCUGAGGUGCGAAAGCGUGGGGAGCAAACAGGG
rnacentral:rRNA from 1 species